rnacentral:lncRNA from 11 species
AUCAACACCAGAGGCAUUCCACCCAUUCUCUGGGAACUUGUAUAACAAUCAUGGCAGCAAUAAAGACUCCUGGGACCUGAUGGCCCUUGCUAGGACCACAUACACCCAUUCAUAACUCAUUUCAGCACCUUUGUCUCCUGGACUUCCCCACCCUGUUUCGGCCAAUGGACAGAGACAAAUCUACAUCGGAGGCGAGGAGCACCUCCCCAUUGGCCAGCAGGUGCUGCAGUCCCGCCUCUGUGGGGAGUCCUCCCUGAUGUCAUCGGAGCUCAGCCAAUCACAGUGGAGCCGGGAACAGCUGGAAGUGUCCUGGCACUAAUCUCAUGUAUUUUCUGGAUCCGGCGGCUUCCUUAACCGUUGAACUGCAAGCUUGGUUAUAAUUUCCCUGAACUGGUGAAAAACAUGCAGAGGUCAGUCCAUAUAACCAUUCAUGCCUUGAUGAAUCUUUGAAGAAGGAAAUGGAAA